AUGAAGCUGGCUGGACAUUCUCACUUUUCUUUCCCCACAUGCUUGUUUGCAGAGGCAAGUGCUCAAGGAAGUCAAGACAGCAGGACUGUUGCCAUCAUGCGGUACGAGCACAGUGAGCUGCGGUCCCCGAGGAGUGACAAGGCAGACGGUGAAUACAUCGACCAUCACACCCCCCCCAGCACUGUGGUGCAUGGAGGGAGAAUCGCUGGGUUCAGAUGUGUGGUUCAUGCUUCUGAGGGAUCGACACCUGAAGGGGGUUCAGUGGCAGGACAGGACUCCGUGGAGGUGGCUGGCAGACGACGGUCUUCAGAUUGGACGGGGACACCUCACUUCCCUGAUGAUGCUCUGCCGUCUGCUUUCUGUCUCCUGUUGUAACACAGGGAAAACGAACCCCCCCGGCUUCAUUUGUCCCCUUCUCAGUUUUAUGGAGAUAAAAGUAACUUUUCAUCUCUCAGCUCAAAACGUCUUAAGCUGCGUCUCUUCCUCAUGGUCCCUUUGAGAGUAAAAGUCUAGAAAUGAAACACAAUUCUGACAAGUUUGGAAAAUGUGCUUUUACAAUUCACAGUUCAAAGCCACCCCCCCCUCCCCCCGGAGACUGAGCCUUGUUUGUUCCCACAGAUGAGAAGUUCGGCCGUGGGGCCUCUUUCUGUUUUCUCCUAACACGGGCGAAUGGCUUUCAUGCUCUCAUCACUAUGGUUCCACUGAAUCUUCGCCUCUGAGCAAAAGCCCCAGUGGCCAACUUCAGAGGACACCCUGACCUCUGAGCACGUUGUGUGCAACGUCUUGUUUUAAAUGAUGGUGGGAGGGAAGCGGGGGAGGAGGCAGAGGAAAGAGCCCCAGACCCCGCAGUUUAUAAAUCACCCCAUAACACAGCCGGGAUGUGAAAGGCACCCGGCCAGGGGUUGUGAAAGGAAAUAAUUUUCAUUCCCAGCCCUGGGAAUUAUGUGAAGCAAUAGAACAAAAGCUGCAUUCCCCAGGGAUUUUCUGAGAGUAAGUUGGAGGGGGAAAUGGGAAAAUCACAGGAAGGGCCGAGUUAAGGAAGACAGGGAAGCAGAGCAGAAUGCAGCCAGACACCCAGCUUCCUUGGCCAACCGCCUUCAGGACAGAGAAAACCCUACCGGGUCUUGCUGUGGGGACGGAAACACCUUCUGCCUCAGAGAGUGCUGGAGAUGUUCUUUCUCAGAGGCUGGCGGGGGGCGGGGGGAGCAGAAGGGAAGCGGACCUGUGGGUACGGGCUAUGCAUCUGCAUUUGGGGAUGGCCAGAAAAUUGUUUCUAUCCUACCCACAUAAUAAAGAAAACCUGAAGGAACACAUAACGCCGUGAUUCACCCUUGCAAGGGCCCAGGAGGCAUUAACUGCUUUCAACAAUUGCCAGGA
rnacentral:lncRNA from 1 species